ensembl:lncRNA
UGGUGUAGCAUGGGUGUUCAGGGCUGUGUUUUCACUGCAUGGUCUGUUUAAACGCAAAGGGUGGAAGAGUUAAGGCACCAGGUGUUGCUGUGACUGACUUCGCUAAUCAUCUCAGGGGGAGCUGUACUCCGUUUUUCUGCUGGAUUAAUGCACUCUUUCUCUUCACUACGGAAAUGAUUCUGCGAUCAACGACCACUAUUGUCGUCGGUGAAAGUCCAGGUCUUUUUGCUGGGUUCAAAAGUGCUUUCCUUUUUUUCAGGAUGUACCAAACUGUAGGUUUCACCACUCCUAAUAUUGUAACAAUUUCUCAGAUGGGUUUUUUCUGUUGUCACAGAUUAAGAAUGGCUUGUUUCACCUGCAUGGAGAGCUCAUUUGACUGCAGGCAAUCUACUGAGAGCCAAAUCUUUCACAUACAUGUUUCUAUGUCUAAAUCUAAGCUGGCUCCAUAGAGACUGUUUAUCGUGUCCCUGAGCCCCUGAGUCUGAGUCUCCUAAGCCACCCAAGCCAGCUGAGCCCAAAGCUGAGCAUAUGUUUUCCAAACAUGUGCAUUUCGACUGUGAGACUGCCUCCUUGCAGAAAUGGAAAUUACACACUGAUUUAAGAAUGUUUUCUCAGAAUGAAUUUACCUGAGCUGUGAGAUAUAAGGCAGACAUUCAAGGAAACUCCUCACUUCACUCUCUUCAUGUGAGCAGCCUGUCAGCUUCACUUGUUUCUUCUCUGGUUGGAGUUUCAGCACUUCCAGGAGGAUGGAGGUCUUUCUCUCUGAGAGGUUUAUGGACCAGACUGCAGGAGCUGACUGGAUAACUGACUGUAAUGAUGUUUUUUGGAAUUUCUCCUGUGGUGUCAUGAGCCUGAGCCUGAGUGUGAGAGAGUGAGAGCACUCUGCACUUUGGACACUUUGGAUCUGCUGCCCAGAGUUCCUUUUCCCCCUGCACAUUGUUGAGAUUGUUGUAAAUAUUUUUGGCACUGUAAAUAAACACACUGUUGAGCUCCUCCAACUCUACGUCUGAAUCCACCCACUUGUUAGCCCUGACACUAAGGCUGCGUUCACACUGCAGGUCUUAAUGCUCAAUUCUGAUUUUUUGAUCAAAUCCGAUUUUUUUUGUCUGCUUGUUCACACUGCAAAUAAAAUGUGACAGCAAACGCGCUCUAGUGUGAACCCUCAAAGCGGCCCGCAUGCGCAAAAGAAGACGUCACAUACAACGUGCUCUGUUUAGACCCAGAGCAAACAACAUUGUUUGACUGAUGGCCCUUAAUAUAAAGACUUGUUUCGGACUUUACGUUUCCCAAUUUUGCUUUAAGUUGUAAAGUUAUUUUGUUAUUUACAUAUGGC